rnacentral:rRNA from 1 species
AACGCGAAGAACCUUACCAAGGUUUGACAUGCAGGGAAAAGCCGUAGAGAUAUGGUGUCCGUAAGGGCCCUGCACAGGUGGUGCAUGGCUGUCGUCAGCUCGUGUCGUGAGAUGUUGGGUUAAGUCCCGCAACGAGCGCAACCCUCGUCCUAUGUUGCCAGCGGAUAAUGCCGGGGACUCAUAGGAGACUGCCGGGGUCAACUCGGAGGAAGGUGGGGAUGAGGUCAAGUCAUCAUGCCCCUUAAGUCUUGGGCUGCAAACAUGCUACAAUGGCCGGUACAGAGGGCUGCGAAACCGCAAGGUGGAGCGAAUCUCAAAAAGCCGGUCUCAGUUCGGAUUGGGGUCUGCAACUCGACCCCAUGAAGUCGGAGUCGCUAGUAAUCGCAGAUCAGCAACGCUGCGGUGAAUACGUUCCCGGGCCUUGUA